rnacentral:rRNA from 1 species
GAUGAACGCUGACGGCGUGCCUAAUACAUGCAAGUCGAGCGAACAGACGAGGAGCUUGCUCCUCUGACGUUAGCGGCGGACGGGUGAGUAACACGUGGAUAACCUACCUAUAAGACUGGGAUAACUUCGGGAAACCGGAGCUAAUACCGGAUAAUAUAUUGAACCGCAUGGUUCAAUAGUGAAAGACGGUUUUGCUGUCACUUAUAGAUGGAUCCGCGCCGCAUUAGCUAGUUGGUAAGGUAACGGCUUACCAAGGCAACGAUGCGUAGCCGACCUGAGGGGGUGAUCGGCCACACUGGAACUGAGACACGGUCCAGACUCCUACGGGAGGCAGCAGUAGGGAAUCUUCCGCAAUGGGCGAAAGCCUGACGGAGCAACGCCGCGUGAGUGAUGAAGGUCUUCGGAUCGUAAAACUCUGUUAUUAGGGAAGAACAAAUGUGUAAGUAACUAUGCACGUCUUGACGGUACCUAAUCAGAAAGCCACGGCUAACUACGUG